UGGUUGCGAAAUGUUGUAAAAUGCAGAAAAUAUAGCCUUGCGAAGUUUGGCUCAAAAAUGGUAACAAUUUCCGCACGUAAUAUACAAACAUACUGAAAAUAUGCAAACUUCGCAAGGCUAUAUUUUCUGUAUUUUACAACAUUUCGUAACCA